GUAGGGUAGGGAUUCUUUUCGUUUUACGGAUAGCACGACAGGCUGUGUUUCAUGGACAGAACGAUUUUCCUUUGUUUUACGGACGGCCAUUUGAAGAAACACGUUCUUCCCAAACGAACGGACAGAGAGUUACAUUAGAGACAGAUAAGGUUACAGAAUAGUUAUUUAAGAUUUUAAAGACUGAAGGAGAAAUAUUGGUAGCUAAGGACGUUGAAAAUCGAUUCUCGAUUUUCAGACUUCAGAAUCGAUCCCUGAAUUAUCCAAUUAUUGAACCUUAUAAAUCGACUUUCCCUACGCCAUCUUGCUGAAAGUUAACCUACGCGUCGUCAUGAACGAGAACGCGAAACAGUAGAAGAUACAGAAGAUAUAGAAUCUAUCAGAAGACCAGAAGACGAAAUAUGCUGUAUUUUCCCCCCGGAAUAUCAAGAAGAAAAGUACCAUCAACAAUUAUUCAGUUUACCUAUAGCGAAGGAGGUCGCAAACAGUCUAACCAAGGUAGGCCAAUGUAGAAAUAUUAAACUCACAAUAGAUGACGAGACAGCAACAUUGUAUAUCAAUACGGAUUCAAGCUUCGCAUUCCGAGACAUUGUCUUAGAGGAACCAGAAAUAACUCGCACAAGAAAAGCAAAGACGGAAAUUGACAUGGUAAAACUUCUAGAGACUCUCAGAAAAUGAGAUAAGAGGGAAAUAGAGGAAAUAAACUUCAAUAUAGAACAAUUUGAAGGAACUCGAAGAGCCACAGACUGGAUAUCGGAGCAUGAAGAGGAAUGCAAAAGAUACAAAAUAAAAGGUUCGUUCAUAGAAUAUGCAAUAGAGAAAGGACGACUAAUAUUGGAGGUAAAAGAAGUAAAAAGAAGAAUGCCUGAAGAUGUGAGGGUGCACCUGAUUGUCAUUGGAUUACCUAUCGAAAUCCAAGAUAAAAUCGAAAGAGAAAGUAUACAGUCAACAAAUAACCUAAUGGGAAUUUUGGGACAAUAUGAAGAUUGGAGAAACUGAUUUCAUAAAAAUUAUCCGUGCAGAUCGAUACCCAGUAAUGACAUCCAAAGAAAUUCGAGUAUGCGAGAAAGAAGAAAAUUAAAUUAAUUUUCACCUCGACUGACUGUCCAUCCUCCAAUGGACUAAACGAGAGGAAGAAAGCGUAGAAGAGUACAAUAACACCAGACACAGUGUAAUGGGAUUUGCCCCAAAUCAUUUACUGUAUGGAAAAAUGAUUGAAAUCCUCCCUAAGGGAAUAAUGGAGAAUAUGAAGAAUACUUGUCGAGUGCCACCACAGUGAUAUAGUCUUCACCCACAACGGAAACAAAGUGAAUAGAAAUAAGCUGGAAGAAAUUAGGAAAGGACCUCUCAAAAUUCUAAGAAGGAUUUCAAACUUCAUAUAUGAAGUGGAUAACGGUAAUCGGAGAUCUGAUGGGAAUUUCUUCCACUCAAGUAAGCUGAUCCCUUAUAGAGAAGAUAAUUAACGAUGGGUAGCACGACAGGCUGUGUUUCACGGAUAGAACGAUCUUCCUUUGUUUUACGGACGGGCAUUUGAAGAAGCACGUUCUUCCCAAACGAAUGGACAGAGAGUUACAUUAGAGACAGAUAAGGUUUCAGAAUAGUUAUUUAAGAUUUUAAAGACUGAAGAUUUAAGAUUUAAAGACUGAAGGAGAAAUAUUGGUAGCUAAGGACGUUGAAAAUCGAUUCUCGAUUUUCAGACUUCAGAAUCGAUCCCUGAAUUAUCCAAUUAUUGAACCUUAUAUAUCGACUUUCCCUACGCCAUGUUGCUGAAAGUUAACCUACGCGUCGUCAUGAACGAGAACGCGAAACAGUAGAAGAUAGAGAAGAUAUAGAAUCUAUCAGAAGACCAGAAGACGAAAUAUGCUGUAUUUUCCCCCCGGAAUAUCAAGAAGAAAAGUACCAUCAACAAUUAUUCAGUUUACCAAUAGCGAAGAAGGUCGCAAACAGUCUAACCAAGGUAGGCCAAUGUAGAAAUAUUAAACUCACAAUAGAUGACGAGACAGCAACAUUGUAUAUCAAUACGGAUUCAAGCUUCGCAUUCCGAGACAUUGUCUUAGAGGAACCAGAAAUAACUCGCACAAGAAAAGCAAAGACGGAAAUUGACAUGGUAAAACUUCUAGAGACUCUCAGAAAAUGAGAUAAGAGGGAAAUAGAGGAAAUAAACUUCAAUAUAGAACAAUUUGAAGGAACUCGAAGAGCCACAGACUGGAUAUCGGAGCAUGAAGAGGAAUGCAAAAGAUACAAAAUAAAAGGUUCGUUCAUAGAAUAUGCAAUGGAGAAAGGACGACUAAUAUUGGAGGUAAAAGAAGUAAAAAGAAGAAUGCCUGAAGAUGUGAGGGUGCACCUGAUUGUCAUUGAAUUACCUAUCGAAAUCCAAGAUAAAAUCGAAAGAGAAAGUAUACAGUCAACAAAUAACCUAAUGGAAAUUUUGGGACAAUAUGAAGAUUGGAGAAACUGAUUUCAUAAAAAUUAUCCGUGCAGAUCGAUACCCAGUAAUGACAUCCAAAGAAAUUCGAGUAUGCGAGAAAGAAGAAAAUUAAAUUAAUUUUCACCUCGACUGACUGUCCAUCCUCCAAUGGACUAAACGAGAGGAAGAAAGCGUAGAAGAGUACAAUAACACCAGACACAGUGUAAUGGGAUUUGCCCCAAAUCAUUUACUGUAUGGAAAAAUGAUUGAAAUCCUCCCUAAGGGAAUAAUGGAGAAUAUGAAGAAUACUUGUCGAGUGCCACCACAGUGAUAUAGUCUUCACCCACAACGGAAACAAAGUGAAUAGAAAUAAGCUGGAAGAAAUUAGGAAAGGACCUCUCAAAAUUCUAAGAAGGAUUUCAAACUUCAUAUAUGAAGUGGAUAACGGUAAUCGGAGAUCUGAUGGGAAUUUCAUCCACUCAAGAACGUGUGCUGAUAUUUGAUCGUCAUCAAGGAAGCCGUGCUUUGCUGUAAUAUUAAUGAAUCAGCGUAUAUUUAUACUUGGGUAGAUAUUAAAUGAAGAUAAUAUAUAGGAUAAAGUGGAAGAUAAUAUUUCAACAGAUAUCACAGAAAUAUAGUAGAAAUAUAGUACGAUGAUUAUGAUAAUAUGGACAUGAUACAAUGGCUGAAUGGAUUUAAUAUGAUUCUUUUAAUUAAUCGUGACGCUAGGUUUAUCUCUGCAUCGAAUAAUCAAUUGGAACGUGGAUAUAAGGGUAAGAAAAUUAAAAUGGUGCGAGACAAGCGGUAUGUAACUUUAUAAAAUUAAAUCUGCUAAGGAAAAUGUGCAAUUUAACAGAUGAAAUAAUUUAUAAUACACGCAACAUGUUUAUAAAAUUUUUUUUAUGAGACGUAUUCAGAUACAAUACUUUCGUAAGCCCCUGUUUAUUUGACAAGGUCUAUAGCGUAUUCACCGUUCUACUCUUUUCGCUAGAUGCUGAGGGUACUCGAUAAUCGAGUGACUUUCGCGACUUCGAGUGAUUUCACUCAACGUUCAACGAACAGCUCGAAGCCGAAUACCAGGAAUAUUUCUUCUACACAGAAAGGAGAAGCAAGCUUACCCUUCGUACAAUAAAUAGAAGGAGCUACAUACGUUUUUAAUCGCGAAGAUCGCGGUAAACUUACGAAAUUUGGAAACGUCAAGGGUAUCGUAAGGUUUCUGUGAAUCCUUUUUAUGGAUUCCCGUGAGUCUCGAUUUACUGCCGCUUUUCGUAUUUCUUGUGCGUAUUAAAGGACCUUGCACGACGCAAUCUCAGCGGAAAAUCUUAGCAAUAAAACGUCCAGCUGUUAACCACAACUGGCAUUGAAAAAUUUGGAAAUGUCGUAAAAGUCCAGAUUGUCGAAGUAACACGUGCACGUUGUUCAAGUAACAUCGUAAAAAACAAUUUAGAGGAGACAAUUAUUAUAAUAGAAUUUCUCGAAUAAUUAGUAUGACGUGUGCCAUGUGAAUAAAUAGUCGUGUUUGAUGUGGUAUUAUUAGUUUCCAAUCAAAUUUAACUGUUCUUUUGGCAAUCUACGUAAGAGAUUCAAAGCAAACAUAUCCAUCGACUGUAAGUAUUUAUUAAACAUUUCUAAACUCAAAAUAAAAGAGGGAGAGAGAGAGAGAGAAAGAGAGAGACAGUAAUGACUCGCCACUUUUUAUUUUGCUAAUCUAAAAUAAAUUUAUUCAGCAGUUUACCAAGGCCCACCUUUACCUAGUUUGAUGCAAAUGAGAAACGGUAAGUGUUAGCAACACCAUUUCCAAGAAACUUGAGGUACUAUGUCAAACUUAGUUGACACGAGAAGCAACCACUGUACGCUUAACUGACGGUCACGGAAUACAUUACUUCUUGAUACAAUCUUCCUGCUUGAUUUCCCUUUACCUUUGAUUUUCUCCUACCUCUGGAAACCACUUUGGUAUUUAAUAUUAACAUAGUUCUUUAGAUGGAACAACUAGCUCUCUCGAUAAACUUAAAUAUAAAUAGAGAACUUUGUUACGAAUUUAAUUUUAGAACAAUUAGUGGAAUGUUUGUCAAUCUGCAUUCAAAGUGAAUAAAAUUCGCGUUAUGGAAUUAUUCCUUUCAUAAAUAAGCGAGUGGCUGCCGAUUCAGAUAAAUUGAAAAAUUAGUUGCGAAGAAGUAGAAAAUGUUUUUUUAUUCCCGUAGUUUUCUUACGCCAGGUGAAUUAAAAUUAACAGAGUUUUCUUAUCAUGCAGAUUUCUGCAUGUUCAUCUAAUAAACUGGAAAUUUGCCGCAAGCGGCAAGCCACGCCAAUUCGCCGAAACUCUUAUCGAACAAAAUAACUAGAAACUUCUUCCCUCGCUCUACUUUCCAUACAUGCGCUAGUUUCUCUAUACAUAUUCGUUUUUCCAUUUUUGUUGCAAACGCUUCUUCGCUUCGAUGAUCAUAGGUUGAUAAAUCAAAGGCUUUAUUCGAACUUAUUCCAGUCGAAUUUUUUCCUUAGUUUUAAUCAAAAUUCCCUUCCAUCCGUAUUAAUUUUGUCACGUAUAAGCAGCUGAGUUUAAUUUCGCUCUUCGUGCACGAACUACAAUUCGUGAAAUACAAUUUAUAUGACCAUCAACUCGACGGUCCACAUUUACACGAAUUUUUUCGACCGUAUUUUAAAUGCCAUGAAAUAUCGGACCUAGGCAGAAUAUAAUUUCUAUCAAAUUAUUCGCGUACAUUGCAAUAUUAUUCGCUGUAUUUCUUUGCACACUAUACAUAGUAUCGGGUAAAAUACGAUGGUUCAUGAAAGUGUUCGGAGAAUUAUCAAACCACUUGUACGUGUGUCGUAUAAAACAUUUCGAAACUUUAUUAGCAUUGUAAUGAGACUGUAAUGUUUGAAAAAUUUUAAAUGAAUAUGAAAUCUACUCGCAAUCGUUUUGAGGGGUAGUUUCAUGCAUAUGAAUUUUCUGUUUGAAGAAACAAAGGAUGAUGUCUAAUAUAACGGAAAACGACUGUUCAAAUACGUCGGUGCCUUUUAUGAAGCUCGUAAUCCCUUGCUCGUAAACAUUUUCAGAUUUCUGUCAAAUUUUCCCAAUAUAAUCGCCAGUCUUUCUUUUGAUAUAGGGUUAAUCAAGUUUUAACAUGUUUCGUGCAACACACAUACUACAUUGAGGAAACUCGUUAAUGGAUAAUUUACAGAAGAAUAUUGUCUCGAAAGCGCGAUGCAAAGAAAAGACAGUGGUUCGACGAUAAUUCAAUACGAAUUACUCGUGAAAAUGGAUGCACGUUGUUAAUUUAAAACGACGUUAACAGCAUCGUGAUCACACAUUGUCGGACCCAAGGCAUUAAUGUUUAAAAUUAGAAAACCACUUGCAAGUCUGGCUAUAUAUUCGCGUGUUAGAACACUCUGGCCGAGCAAAAAAUGUUUGCCUAUCAAUUAUUCGCCACUUCUUCUGCUGCACGUAUUUGCGUACAUAUAUGUUGCGCUCUAUUUUUUUACCCCGCACGACAAAAUCUUUUUCGUAUGGUUCAUGAAAAAUCACACUUCUUGUGAACUCAUAAUUGGCAGAUUUCUCGGUCAAGUUGAUCCACAAACACAUAUUUCUUAAAGAUACGUAUACAACAAUUAAAUGUAAACGGAGAUUUGUUUCAUCUUCAGAACACCAUAAAUCAUCUUAAUCUCAAAAUUAUCAUAAAUAUUGGAAAGAAUACUCUACUUUGGUUAUAUCACAUAUUUUUCAAUAUUUGUCUGCAUUUUUGUAUCUUUAAAUUUUUCACAAGUUCGAUGAUUCGUCAUAAACGAAAUAUUUAAUUGUCAGAUCCUUUUGUAUCCUUCGAUUAUCAAAUUAUUUUCAAUAUUCCGCACUACUUUUUAUUCUAUAUAUUAAUUAUCGUCAAAUCUAAAAGUCUAUCUAAAAAUCUAUCGUCGAGAAUUAUCUCGUAGUUUUUAUUUCGGACCGAUUUUCCGUUAAAAAUUAUUAAAGUAACUCCUCUGUAAGCUGCACAUGUGCUUGCAAUUAUUUCUAAUGAUAUUAGAAUUUUACGAACGCUUUCGUGUUUGGUCAUCUUGUAAAAUAAAGUCGAACGGACUUAACUCGAUGUGUCCUGUUUAUCGGUAACUCGAUUCGUCAGAGAUUUCGUAAAUAAUACCUUUUACUCUGCCUUCCUCUUUCCACCACUGUAGGACUUUGGCCUUCGUAGAUCCGCUCCGCUUAAAUUCGCCGCGUUUCACACGCGUUCAGUUCUGGCAAGUUCACUCGUUACGUUGUCGCAACCCGGUGCUUCGUCGUUUCACGUUCCUUAGACCUUCAAGUCGACGAGAUACUCUUCUUUGGCAUUCAAACAAGAAUCUAUGGAACCAGAAUAUAAGAAAUUAAAAUGAAAAUCAGCCGGCCGUAAAGAAAUUCAGAUUUCCAUGAAAAAAUUCGAAUUUGUUUCUUUAUUUACCACUGUGAUAAAAUGGUGGAGAUUAGUAGGAAAUCACUUAGCCGAAACAUGAAAUAUGAAAUGUCAAAGCUUGUUAAUCUACGUAUUACUUUUCUAACGUUUCUAUCUAUUAUCGUGAUUGCUAUCGUACGUCUAAUACUUUUUAUUAUUAUUACAGGUAAUUAUUACUACAGGUAACUUUUUCAAAUAGGGUGUUUAGAGUAGGUCGUAAUCAUUUAUUGUUACAAGGAGAAAAUCCACCGAUGGAUUCACUCCGAGAUAUCAAUUCGUCGAAAUCGACAGCGCGCCGUAAACUGAAGCGGAACUGGGAUUCGCUGAGGAUCCACGCUCUCUCGACGCAGUCGCAAAACACGAUGCAUCGUUUUGUCUACUCUUUCUCCUCUUUCGACGCCUGACAUUGACUGAAGGGCGCGCCUCCUCGAACCACCCGUUUUUUUUUUUCAAAUCGUAAUCAAAAACACACCUAUUCGAUCUAGGAAGAAUGUUCACGUUAAUCUAUUUCUCUGUUCAACCUUUUUCUACCAUAUACUACAAUCAACCACCCAAUAUUCCAAUUGUAUUUUUGUCAAAUCAACAAAUUCGGUAAGCAGAUUCCGUACGAUGAAUUUCCUUGUAUACUGAAUGAUGUAAUUUAAUCGGAGUUAAUUAGAAAUUCACGAUAGACAGUCACGUUGAAUUGUGGAUAAAUCAUAACUGAAACAUCUAAUUAUACAAUCGGUUUAAUUACAUUAUCAUGGAUGCAACAUUCGUGUAAAUGAUAUAAUGAAUUAGGAGUACACAUAAACCGCGCGAGGAUAAAUAUUCCGCGCCAAUUUGGAAUCGCUGAAGAGAGCUCGCGUUCAUAAGUGGCAAUGAUUUCCAGUAGGAAUGCAUCUGUUGCAUUUGGUCGAUCUGGAUUAAAUCAAUACGACGCAACAGUAGCCAAACAGAGGCGUUAUUUAUUUUGCAUCCUCCACCGUAUUUUUCUUUCAGCAUCGUCACCGAUGGUCACUCCGGCGGAUUAGCCACGCCAGGAAUUUCUAGAAUCGACCAGAUUACGACUACGCAGCGCCGCGUUUCUUGUUGCGUUUGCGAAUCCACUUGGAAUUCAAUUAGAAUUCCUAUGCGUGAAUAUAAUUCUGCAAGUGCCGAAUCAUCUACCACGCAGAAAUGGAUCCUGUCGGUAUACAGCUGCUACUGGAGGUCCGUUUGAUCGAUUACGAUAAAAAGACGGACUUUUAAUAAAAUUAUAGAGCCAGGAACAGGAUCCAUUGAAAGGAGAAGAUCUUCGUUCAACAAGCUUCGAGGUAAGCAGAGAUAUUGACUCGCCGUUGUAACAAUUAAUCCUAUUAAUUCUCGAUUUGCUCGAUGGUUCCUUUUCCUCACUGAUACUUGCGAUUUGUCCUUUGUAUCGUGUUCACAAUCGUUUCGUUAAAGUCCUGAUAAAUUUCAGUGCAUUUAAAUUCAACUUUCAACCGUUCAAUUCCAAACGAAAUAUAAACAGAAGCUUCGUGGUUUUUAUAUAUUCAACUCGUUUGAUAGAUAUUUAUUUUAUCCUUUUUAUCUCGGUUUAAAACGUUGAUGUUUUUGUCGUCGGAUUAACUAGAUCAAUUGACAGUGAUACGUAUGUUUACAGAUUCGUGUUUCGUCAUUUCCUGUUUGCUAUCUAUUUUUCCUUUUUUGUGUUCCAUUCAUUUUCUUUUCCAAUUAUAUCGUCUCUACUAAACAAGCAAACAGAAAGGGAGAGGUAGAGAGAGAGAGAGAGAGAGAGAGAGAGAUAAUUUUGUGGUAUUUUUGGAACAGCAUCUUCUUCAGGUUAUCCGAAAUUUUACCACCCUUCCUUCUGUCACCAAGUUAUGAUUGACCCUGUUCCAUCCAAACGAAUAAAAUGGGCGCCCCGCAAUCACUGUCAUCUUCAUAACCCACAUGCUUCAGCUACAAAACGAUAGUGGGUUGUCCAGAUUUGCCGCUUAUUUACCAAUCGUUAUGCCAUCCUGUCUGGUUUGGUUAAGUAGGAAGCAAAUAGGGAUACCCUAAGCGGGUUUGGCGUUUCGUUGAAAUUGCUAUAAAGGUAUACACGGUACAGUCUGGUCUCCGUGCCAACGCAAAAGGAAAAUACAGCAUGAAAGGAAAAUACAUUGGUCGAUGAAUGUCCCGAGGGAAGAGGAAUAAGACCCGUCGACGCAAAAUCUUAAUGGAUUUCGUGUCUAUCUCAAAGAAAGCUUGUAAUAAUCGAAUAUACUAAAUACCACUAACAUUAUGAGAUAUCUGAACGUGUUUCAGUGUUUAUAAAAAAAGAAAACAUUUGAUAUUUUAUUUUAUGUGCUCAGCAGUUCUAAAGUAUAUAGACUUUAUAAGUAUAUAGACUAGGUAUAUAGACUAAGUAUAUAGACUAGUAUAUAGAUAUAAAAUGUAUUUUAAUCAAAGAGUUAUUUAAAUGAACCUGCAAGCUUUUUAUUCUUUAUAAUUGCCAUAACUGCGUAUAAUAGAAUAUUACGAUACAAUUACAUUGACAUUUAGAAACCAAUAUGGAAUAAUUAAUAUAAAUUAUUAAUAAUUAUAUAUAAUGA